UUUCGCUGGCGCUCUUUACUUGGGUGUGUGCGUUUGCGCUUUCCUUUUUUUUUGUUUGCUUUUCGUAUAUUUAUCGCUUUUGUUUCUUUUUUUUCCCU
rnacentral:ribozyme from 1 species